rnacentral:rRNA from 1 species
CCUACGGGAGGCAGCAGUGGGGAAUAUUGGGCAAUGGGCGCAAGCCUGACCCAGCAACGCCGCGUGAAGGAAGAAGGCGUUCGGGUUGUAAACUUCUUGUAAGAGGGAAGAGCAGAAGACGGUACCUCUUGAAUAAGCCACGGCUAACUACGGGCCAGCAGCCGCGGUAAUACGGAGGUGGCAAGCGUGGUCCGGAUUUACGGGGUGUAAAGGGCGUGCAGCCGGGAAGACAAGUCAGAUGUGAAAUCCCGCGGCUCAACCGCGGAACGGCAUUUGAAACUGUUUUUCUUGAGUACCGGAGAGGUCAUCGGCCUUCCUUGUGUAGCGGUUACCUGCGUAGCUCUCAGG